rnacentral:rRNA from 1 species
CAGUAGCCACGGUAAUACAGAGGGUGCAAGCGUUAAUCGGAUUUACUGGGCGUAAAGCGUGCGUAGGCGGCUUCUUAAGUCGGAUGUGAAAUCCCUGAGCUUAACUUAGGAAUUGCAUUCGAUACUGGGAAGCUAGAGUAUGGGAGAGGAUGGUAGAAUUCCAGGUGUAGCGGUGAAAUGCGUAGAGAUCUGGAGGAAUACCGAUGGCGAAGGCAGCCAUCUGGCCUAAUACUGACGCUGAGGUACGAAAGCAUGGGGAGCAAACAGGAUUAGAUACCCCUGUAGUCCCUGUCUCUUAACA